rnacentral:misc_RNA from 1 species
GAUGAAGAACGUAGCGAAAUGCGAUAAGUAAUGCGAAUUGCAGAAUUCAGUGAAUCAUCGAAUCUUUGAACGCACAUUGCGCCCGCUAGUAUUCUGGCGGGCAUGCCUGUCUGAGCGUCAUUUCAACCCUCGCCCCUGUGUUUUGCUGCUGACCCAGCAAGGCACGGGGGGCGGUGUUGGGGAUCGGCUUCCCUCCCAGGGGUCGCCGUCCCCUAAACCUAGUGGCAGUCCCGCUGUGGCCUCCCUUGCGUAGUACCUGAAAUCUCGCAGGCGGAAGGAAACAGCGAUGGCCUCGCCGUAAAACCCCCCCAACCUUCUCGUGGUUGACCUCAGAUCAGGUAGGAAUACCCGCUGAACUUAAGCAUAUCAAUAAGCGGAGGA